UACAGAGGGUGCGAGCGUUAAUCGGAAUUACUGGGCGUAAAGCGUGCGUAGACGGUAGCGUAAGUCAGAUGUGAAAGCCCCGGGCUCAACCUGGGAAUUGCAUUUGAGACUGCUCUGCUCGGGUGCGGAAGAGGGAAGCGGAAUUUCCGGUGUAGCGGUGAAAUGCGUAGAUAUCAGGAGGAACACCGGUGGCGAAGGCGGGUCUCUGGGCCAUAACUGACGCUGAGGAGCGAAAGCGUGGGGAGCGAACAGG
rnacentral:rRNA from 1 species